AACGAACGCUGGCGGCAUGCCUAACACAUGCAAGUCGAACGAGACCGUCGGGUCUGGUGGCGCGCGGGUUCGUAACGCGUGGGAACCUGCACUUAGGCUCGGCAUAACUCCCCGAAAGGGGUGCUAAUACCGGAGAAUGUCCUCGGUCCACAGAUUUAUCGCGAUUGGGUGGGCCUGCGUUGGAUUAGCUAGUUGGUAGGGUAAAAGCGUUUCACGGGGAGGAUCCAUAGCUGGUCAGAGAGGAAGGGCCGCCACACUGGGGCGGGGCAACGGCCCGGAAUUCUGGGGGAGGGAGGAAUGGGGGAUAUUGGAACACGGGGUGAAGGCUGAAGCAGCAAGGCCGCGUGAGCGAUGAAGGCCGUAGGGUUGUAAAGCUCUUUUACCCGGGAUGAUAAUGACAGUACCGGGAGAAUAAGCACCGGCUAACUCCGUG
rnacentral:rRNA from 1 species